UAACACCUUCAACAGUAGGAUCAUUUCUAUAGGAAUCGUCACUCUUUGACUCUUCACAAGAGCCACUGAAUCCAACUUGGAAGAUGAGUAUCAUUACCUUUGUGCCCCAGAGUGAGAAUUUUUCUUUGGUUAUCGGAUGUUACCCUUCUUCGGAAGGCCAAGGUAGCAUGGAUGCAAGUCCCGAUUUUAAUAAGUUUGAACUCUGCAACUCUUAGCAGUUCGGAUUCAUCUUAUAGCCGAUUUCCAGUUACAUUUUAACGUUUUUUCUGCCUGUGUUUUUGGGAUUAAAAAUUUUUUUUCUCUAAAAAAUGGCGCGAUGAUCUUUACCCAGCCUAUGUACUUCUUUUAUAAGAUGGGAUAAGCAUUAUUGGGUGGGUGCAAAUGGCAGUCUGACAAGU
rnacentral:snoRNA from 1 species